ACCAUACUGGGCUCUGGAUUGAGAACUUUGAGGGAAAAAUAAAAUGGCUUCAUGGGAGUGUGCAUAAAUUGAUACCGCUGGUAGACUGAAACUUUAAUAAAUGUUUCAGUAUUAGCUUUGAGCAAGGGCACUACAAAAGGAUGUUAUGCUUGCUAUAUACGUGCAUUGCGUAUGUUGGACGUAGAUCUUAAUGCUCACUGGAUUGGUUGCUUGGGAUUGAUAAAAGUCGUGCAGAUUUCUUGCUGCCUAAUAUGCAACAGCUGAAGCUCAACAGCCCCAGGAGAGAAAUAUUUGCAUUCAUCUUUGCAGAAUUCCAGUGGAAGCAAGAAACAUGGCUCUAAAGAAUUUUGUUCUGUCUCUUGUACUUGUACUUUUCAUAUUACCAGAAGGUCAGAACUUUCCAAACUGUUGCCUACAACGUAGAUGCUAUUGUAAAAUCUAUGAUUUCCUUUUUGGCUCUGGGAAGCAUGCUGCUGGCAUCUUAACUUUAGGGAAGCGUACCUCAAAACCUCCUCCUUCCACAACAGAUUUACAGACAAUGGCGAGUUUAGCUGAUUGGUACAAGAAAGCUCAGCAAACAUCAGAAGAGGGAAUGAAUGGAGAAAUGCUAGACUACCAGCUACUGGAACAAAACCCAGAAACAGCUGCACUUACUCAGAAAAAGCUUCUGAAACUCUGCAGAGAGAUGUUUCAACAGUAUCUCAACUGCUUAUCAAGUGAAACGCAAGAAGAAUUUCAAAAUGGAAAAUGUGCUCAAUAUUUUACAGACGAAUGGUCUUCCAUCUUUCCCCAAAUUGUGACCGUUUGUGCUGCUGUUACAGAUUAAUAUCUAAUGAAACAAUAAAAGAAAAAAUACAUUUAAAAUAAUAUUCUGUAUAUAUAAUAACAUUCUUCCUUGAAGUGUUAACUUCAUGUAGAGAAAAUAUAAAAAUUGCCAGAGGAGAAAACCUAGGGCAGCUAAGCACAGUGUUGGAAAGACCAAUUUCUACAAGACUGUGAUCACAGUUCCUGACAUUUUAUUAUGGGUGUAAGAAACCAAGAUUUACAUGGCUCUAAAACUGAAAAACUAAGAUACCUAUCCAUUUAAGCAAAACAUACAUUAAUGAACGUUGCUUCAGAUGUGCACCAAACACAAAGGGACUACUGUGUCACCAGCUUAAAGCAUGCAACUUAAAAUGCUGCCACUGUUUUUAAUGACUUGGUACUAACCCUUCCUUAUUUGUGUUUUUAUUUUAUUUGUUGUUGUAUUUGUUAAUUUGGAUUGAGCACUAAUCCACAUGGACCUUUUUCAGACUAAGCCUGGCAGUAGUGUCUGGUUAAGUAACUUGCUCACAGUUACAAAGUAGGCUAAUGGAAUCUGAGGGAAUCAACCCUGGACCACAUAAACCAGCUCAUUAAUAGCUCAUAGCUUUAAUCCUCUGCAUCAACUGCCAGACAGCACAACUUCUAGGUAUGCAAAUGAGUUCAACAGGUUCCUAGUGUCUUAAACUGAGGCAAAUUAUUUUAUUGAGAUAUGCAUAUCAAUGCACAUCUUCCACUCAGUCCUUUCCAAAAUAUCCCAUGUAUCAUACCAUAUGGAAAUAUGUACAUGCUCAAUUAAGAUGUAUGAAAUGUAUUCAUAUCUGUGGUCUCCUUAGGCAAACAUUCACAGUAAAAUAUUAAUUCAGAGUAAAGCUGAACUGUAUUUUUGUAUGCAACAGUAUUUAAAUUUUUUUUUAGGAAUAACAUCCUAUCUCAUCUAGUUUCGGGCAUAACCUUUGAAUAUACUAUGACAGUGCAAGGGCUCAUUCAUUCCUUCUGUGGAGUCAUUUGAAAAUCAAUUUCCCAUUUCUCCAAGGACUAUACUGCCCAGGUUAAAAUCAGCUCUUUUCCUAAGAUAAAGUUUUUUUUUAAUAAUAAUGAUGAUGAUGUAAAUGCUGAAAAAGCACCACACUGAUAAUUUAAGGUGCCAAUACGAACUCCUAGUGGACCAAUAGCCAAACCACAACUCUGUGCCUCAGAAUAGAAAACAUUAUAAUAUGGUUGCUGGCUGCCUCUUUCUCACUAUUACAAAUAGUCAUGCUUAGUGUGUGUAUGUGUGUGUAUACAUAUUAUAUACACAUCUAUCUGUAUAUAGGUUGUGCUUCAAAUUUAUGAGAAACGUGUUCUUAAUAUAUGAUUAUUUUGUGUAUAGAUCACUGGUGUAACUUAGAAUACAAUAAAGAUGAACAGAAUACAUCA